rnacentral:tRNA from 1 species
UCCUCCUUAGCUCAGUUGGUUAGAGCAUCUGACUGUUAAUCAGAGGGUCGCCCGUUCAAGUCGGGCAGGGGGAGCAA